rnacentral:rRNA from 1 species
GACGAACGCUGGCGGCGUGCUUAACACAUGCAAGUCGAACGGAAAGGCCUCUUUCGGGGGGUACUCGAGUGGCGAACGGGUGAGUAACACGUGAGUAACCUGCCCUUGACUUUGGGAUAACUUCAGGAAACUGGGGCUAAUACCGGAUAGGAGCUCCUGCUGCAUGGUGGGGGUUGGAAAGUUUCGGCGGUUGGGGAUGGACUCGCGGCUUAUCAGCUUGUUGGUGGGGUAGUGGCUUACCAAGGCUUUGACGGGUAGCCGGCCUGAGAGGGUGACCGGCCACAUUGGGACUGAGAGACGGCCCAGACUCCUACGGGAGGCAGCAGUGGGGAAUAUUGCACAAUGGGUGGAAGCCUGAUGCAGCAACGCCGGGGGCGGGAUGACGGCCUUCGGGUUGUAAACCGCUUUCGCUCAUGACGAAGCUUUGUGUGACGGUAGUGGGUAAAGAAGCACCGGCUAACUACGUG